AGGAUGAACGCUGGCGGUGUGCCUAAUACAUGCAAGUCGAACGAAGCCCUCGGGCUUAGUGGCGGACGGGUGAGUAACACGUUGGUACCUACCCCGAAGUGGGGAAUAACUGCCCGAAAGGGUGGCUAAUACCGCAUAAUACCGCAAGGUUAAAGCAGUAAUGCGCUUCGGGAGGGGCCUGCGUCCCAUUAGCUUGUUGGUAGUGUAAUAGACUACCAAGGCGACGAUGGGUAGCUGGAUCGAGAGGUUGACCAGCCACACUGGGACUGAGAUACGGCCCAGACUCCUACGGGAGGCAGCAGUAAGGAAUCUUCACAAUGGACGAAAGUCUGAUGGAGCAACACCGCGUGCAGGAUGACGGUCUUCGGAUUGUAAACUGCUUUUAUAUGGGAAGAUUAUGACGGUACCAUAUGAAUAAGGACCGGCUAACUACGUGCCAGCAGCCGC
rnacentral:rRNA from 1 species